CCUGAUGCAAGACCACACCUUCAGACCAGCAGACUACCUCGGGAGGUCAAGCCAGUGGCUCAGAUCCACCCACACCAACUUGUGCCGGACCCAGAUCCAGGAUGCAGUAGCAUUCACUGAGGGACACCAGCAGGGUCUGGAAGCCCAACAUCAAGGUGAGGUACAAUCUGCAUGGGUAGUACAAGAAUAUAGGGAAGAAACUGUAAUAUCUCAGAUCCACACUGCAAGAAAGAACAUGAAGACAACAUGAAAAAACUAGGGGAGAAAGUGCCCCAAACAAACCAGAACACUAUAAUAACAGAACCCAUGCACAGUGAAGUUGAUGAAAUGUCAGAGAAGGAGUUCAGAAGGUUCAAAUUAAAAUGAUCUGUGAAUUAAAGAAUGACCUAAAUGAAAAAUAUAAGCAAAAAUUGUUCAACAAUGAGAUAAGAGUGCAAAUACAGGUAGCAAAAGAUUACUUAGAGAGAGAGAGACUCUGAAAAACAAAAACAACAACCAGAAAUCCUUGAAAUGAAGGAUACAAUAAAUCAAAUAAAAAACUCAACAGAAAGCAUAACCAACAGACUAGAUCACUUGGAAGAAAGAAUGUCAGAUAAUGAAGAUAAAGUACACAACCUGGAAAAUAAAGUUGAUCACACAGUGAAGAUAGUUGGAAACCAUGAAUAGAAAAGAAUUAUGGGUCAGCAUCAGGGCCAAAUCUAAGAGUUAUUGGGAUAGAAGAAGGCAUAGAGUUUCAAACCAAAGGAAUGCACAAUCUCUUCAAUGAAAUAAUAUCAGAAAAUUUCCCAAGCAUGAAGAAUGAGUUGGAAAACCAAAUAUAAGAGGCUCAUAGGACACGAAAUGUACAAAAUUACAACAUAUCUAUACCAAGGCACAUUAUGAUGAAAAUGCCUAGUGUUGAGAGCCACAGC
rnacentral:lncRNA from 1 species